UACGUAGGGUGCAAGCGUUGUCCGGAAUUAUUGGGCGUAAAGAGCUCGUAGGCGGUUUGUUGCGUCGGCUGUGAAAUCCCGAGGCUCAACCUCGGGUCUGCAGUCGAUACGAGCAAACUAGAGUGUUGCAGGGGAGACUGGAAUUCCUGGUGUAGCGGUGAAAUGCGCAGAUAUCAGGAGGAACACCGGUGGCGAAGGCGGGACUCUGGGCCGAUACUGACGCUGAGGCGCGAAAGCUAGGGGAGCAAACAGG
rnacentral:rRNA from 1 species